GGAGAGUGGACCAGCCUGGCCUUGCCUGGGCUGCCCUGGCGACGCCCCCUGGCAUAGCCUGAGGGGGGUGGGGCUGGGCUGCAGCCCAGCCACAGGAGAGUUCUCUCACCCCACCAAGGUCACUAUACCCAGAGGCAGGGCUUCCUGGUACCUAGGGCUGGAUGCUGGGGCUGGAGCCCUGAUCAAUGAGCAAGGAGACCCUCUCUCUAGGAAGGAGUCAAGAAAGGACUGGGCCUGGGCUGGGGGUGUAGUUCAGUCGGAGAGAGCUGUCUAGCAUGCAGGAGGCCUUGGGUUCAAUCCUUAGGACCAUACAUAUACAUGCAUGUGUGCACGCACAUGCACACAAGAGCUGUGCCAGGUGACCUCUGACCUGCUUCCAGGCCUUCCCUUACUCCACAUUCCCUCUUCCUGUGCCUGCUAAAUGCAGGGAAUUAGGUGAAGAAUGAACCUAUGCCAUGCUGCAAAGAACAGCCUAUGCUACAGUUUUCUGCUGAGCACUAUUCCAACAGGUAUCCAGAGUCAUGCCCUCUAAGCACAGAGGUCCUAAUUUUUGCUUUCUCCCCAUUCCCUGGAAUGUCUAGAGGGGCAACUAAGGUUUCUACAUAGCUAUGGGAAAGAGAUGUGGAGAUCCUGAUAGGGCAGGAGGGACAGGCCUUCUCCCUGAGCCUCUCUUUAGCCCUGUGUUUGUCCUGCCGGCUCCCCUCUGCUUGCCUGGCCUCCCUGCACAGGCUCCCAGAGCCUGGUCCCUGACAGCUCCACAAAGCAGUUACGAAUGAGCUGGCAGUGCUGGCUCGAAUCUUUGUUCCUGUUACACCCUGUUUCCCUGGUCACCCCUCACUCUCCCCCUGAAGAUUUAUGUCUUUUAAGUUCCCACACAUCAGGCUGAGAU
rnacentral:lncRNA from 1 species